GUUAGUUGCCAUUAAUUUUUGAUUUUUUUUCUUUAUAUUGGACAUGUAAAUGAUGAAGAAGUUCAAUUUUAGUUUUGAAGAAUAGAAAUUUGAUUAAGAGUUUUGGUAUGAAAAUCAUGGUUGCCGAUUCCCCCUUCUUCUUCCUCUAAAAUUUUCCAAUUUCUUCUCUUUUUCUCUUUUCUCUCUUUUCAUUCUCCUUCUUUUUAUUACUCUUUUAUUUCCUUUGGUCACUGUUUUCCUGUCUCUGCUGGGCGGUAAAACCAUCAGACAAAAGGGAGCUUGCUGACCCCUGUUUUGUGAUCGAUUGAGUCAGAGGUUUGGGACGAAGGAAGCUGCCACGGAGGCGACUCAAAUCGAGUAACGUUAACCCCAAAGCUUUGAUCCUGUUGUGUGAAUCGAUCGAUUGCAGAUCUGGUCUCUGUUUAUCGCCUGAAGAAAACUCAGGAUUGGAAUAUUAGGUCUAAGUUCUUUGCUUGACAUCUGUGAGGGACAGAACCGACAGAGCUGGUGAUGUAUUGAACCUGCAUGUGAUCUUCCAUGUACCUGGACCUUGUUUGAAGAGCUGGGUCGAGUUGAAGAUGACUGGCUGCCGUUGGUAUUGAGUUCCAUCGUGGCCUAAUGUUGAAGAAGACCUCAUAAAUUAGGGUUGCAUAGCACCUACUGGAACAAGGGAUAGUACUUUGGAGAUCCUUGUGGGAGACAAUGGCUGGGUUGAUCAUCGUGAAAAUGGAAUUAUCUAUUCUUUUGAUGCAACGAAAUGCAUGUUCUCCUGGGGAAAUCUUUCUGAGAAGCUUCGCAUGGCCUGCCUGGAUUGUAGAGAUAAAGUAGUUGUUGAUUUGUUUGCUGGAAUUGGGUAUUUUGUAUUGCCAUUUCUUGUGGGGUAUGUAUUGCAGUUCUUUAUUUGGUUUGAUUUUUCCUGAACUGUGGAGGACCUUUUGUUUUUAAUUGUAUGCUGGUGUCUUGUCAAUAGUAACAAUAGCAUAAUGAAUGCCAUCGUUUUGAAGAGAUCUACG